rnacentral:rRNA from 1 species
ACAUGCAAGUCGAGGGGCAGCAUGUCCAGCAAUGGAUGAUGGCGACCGGCGGAAGGGUGCGUAACGCGUGAGCAACAUGCCCUAUACAGGGAGAUACACCAGGGAAACUUGGUCUAAUAUCCCAUAGCAUUCAUUGAAGGCAUCUUUAAUGAAUUAAAGCUUCGGUGGUAUAGGAUUGGCUCGCGUGACAUUAGCCAGAUGGUGAGGUAACGGCUCACCAUAGCAAUGAUGUCUAGGGGUUUUGAGAGGAAGGCCCCCCACACUGGGACUGAGACACGGCCCAGACUCCUACGGGAGGCAGCAGUGAGGAAUAUUGGACAAUGGAUGGAAAUCUGAUCCAGCCAUGCCGCGUGCAGGAAGACGGCCUUAUGGGUUGUAAACUGCUUUUAUACGGGAGCAAUAAGGGUUACGAGUAAUCCGAUGAGAGUACUGUAUGAAUAAGGAUCGGCUAACUCCGUGCCAGCAGCCGCGGUAAUACGGAGGAUCCGAGCGUUAUCCGGAAUUAUUGGGUUUAAAGGGUGCGUAGGCGGCCAUUUAAGUCAGCGGUGAAAUUUUGCAGCUUAACUGUAACAGUGCCGUUGAUACUGUUUGGCUAGGAUUUGGUUGUAGUGUGCGGAAUGUGUGGUGUAGCGGUGAAAUGCUUAGAUAUCACACAGAACACCGAUUGCGAAGGCAGCACACUAAGUCAUUAUUGACGCUGAGGCACGAAAGUGUGGGGAUCAAACAGGAUUAGAUACCCUGGUAGUCCACACUGUAAACGAUGAUAACUCGCUGUCGGCGAUACACAGUCGGGGCCAAGCGAAAGC